GAUGAAGAACGUAGCGAAAUGCGAUAAGUAAUGUGAAUUGCAGAAUUCAGUGAAUCAUCGAAUCUUUGAACGCACAUUGCGCCCGCUAGUAUUCUGGCGGGCAUGCCUGUCCGAGCGUCAUUUCAACCCUCAAGCCCGGCUUGCGCGAUGGGUCGCAUCGUCCCCGAAGGCCCUCCGGGGCGGGUGGGACGGGCCCGAAAGGCAGCGGCGGCGUCGCGGUCAUCCGAUCAGCCCAAGCGUAUGGGGACAUCCGUCACACGCUAGGGGCGCGGACCGACGCCCGCCUGGAACGUCACACUUCUCAAGGUUUGACCUCGGAUCAGGUAGGGAUACCCGCUGAACUUAAGCAUAUCAAUAAGCGGAGGA
rnacentral:misc_RNA from 1 species